rnacentral:rRNA from 1 species
CCAGCAGCCGCGGUAAUUCCAGCUCCAAUAGCGUAUAUUAAAGUUGUUGCAGUUAAAAAGCUCGUAGUUGGAUUUGUGGCAUUCGCGUGCGGCCCGGCAUUCGUGCCGGUGUUUGCUAGCGUUGCCAUCCUUGGGUGGAACCUGUGUGGCAUUAGGUUGUCGUGCAGGGGAUGCCCAUCGUUUACUGUGAAAAAAUUAGAGUGUUCAAAGCAGGCUUAUGCCGUUGAAUAUAUUAGCAUGGAAUAAUAAGAUAGGACCUUGGUACUAUUUUGUUGGUUUGCGCACCGAGGUAAUGAUUAAUAGGGACAGUUGGGGGUAUUCGUAUUCCAUUGUCAGAGGUGAAAUUCUUGGAUUUUUGGAAGACGAACUACUGCGAAAGCAUUUACCAAG